rnacentral:rRNA from 1 species
GAUGAACGCUGGCGGCGUGCUUAACACAUGCAAGUCGAACGAUGAAGCCCAGCUUGCUGGGUGGAUUAGUGGCGAACGGGUGAGUAACACGUGAGUAACCUGCCCUUAACUCUGGGAUAAGCCUGGGAAACUGGGUCUAAUACCGGAUAGGAGCGUCCACCGCAUGGUGGGUGUUGGAAAGAUUUAUCGGUUUUGGAUGGACUCGCGGCCUAUCAGCUUGUUGGUGAGUUAAUGGCUCACCAAGGCGACGACGGGUAGCCGGCCUGAGAGGGUGACCGGCAAAACGGGAAUGAGGAAACGGCCAAGACUCCAAGGGGAGGCAGCGGUGGGGAUAAUGGCACAUUGGCGGAAGGCUUGAUGCGGGGCCGCCGCGUGGGGAAGAACGGCUUCGGGUUGUAAACCUCUUUCAGUAGGGAAGAAGCGAAAGUGACGGUACCUGCAGAAGAAGCACCGGCUAACUACGUG